rnacentral:rRNA from 1 species
UACGUAGGUGGCAAGCGUUGUCCGGAAUUAUUGGGCGUAAAGCGCGCGCAGGUGGUUUCUUAAGUCUGAUGUGAAAGCCCACGGCUCAACCGUGGAGGGUCAUUGGAAACUGGGGAACUUGAGUGCAGAAGAGGAAAGUGGAAUUCCAAGUGUAGCGGUGAAAUGCGUAGAUAUUGGGAAGAACACCCGUGGCGAAGGCGGCUCUCUGGAACGCAACUGACGCUGAGACGCGAAAGCGUGGGGAGCAAACAGG